rnacentral:rRNA from 1 species
AACGUAGGGGGCAAGCGUUGUCCGGAAUUACUGGGCGUAAAGGGCGUGUAGGCGGUUACUUAAGUCAGGUGUGAAACUUCUGGGCUCAACCCAGGACUUGCAUCUGAAACUGGGUAACUUGAGGGUAGGAGAGGAAAGUGGAAUUCCUAGUGUAGCGGUGAAAUGCGUAGAUAUUAGGAGGAACACCAGUGGCGAAGGCGACUUUCUGGCCUAACCCUGACGCUGAGGCGCGAAAGCGUGGGGAGCAAACAGG